rnacentral:rRNA from 1 species
GAUGAACGCUAGCGGCAGGCUUAAUACAUGCAAGUCGAACGGUAAGGUCUCUUCGGAGAUACACGAGUGGCGCACGGGUGCGUAACGCGUAUGCAACCUACCUUUAACUGGGAAAUAGCCCCGAGAAAUCGGGAUUAAUGUCCCAUAUUAUUCUCUGAUAGCAUUAUCGGGGAAUGAAAGCUCCGGCGGUUAUUGAUGGGCAUGCGUGACAUUAGCUAGUUGGUGAGGUAACGGCUCACCAAGGCAACGAUGUCUAGGGGGCCUGAGAGGGUUAACCCCCACACUGGUACUGAGACACGGACCAGACUCCUACGGGAGGCAGCAGUAAGGAAUAUUGGGCAAUGGACGCAAGUCGGACCCAGCCAUGCCGCGUGAAGGAUGACUGUCCUAUGGAUUGUAAACUUCUUUUAUGCAGGAAAAAUAGCCUGGUCGUGAACCGGGUUUGAUGGUACUGUAUGAAUAAGCAUCGGCUAACUCCGUGCCAGCCGCCGCGGUAA